CAUAAAUUUCAAUGGAAAAUAUCAGUAUUAAUUAAUGAGGUGUUUUUAUCUUUUAAAAGUAUAUUGAUUUCCUAACUCUGUCCAUUCCAAGGCCUAGAGAGACAACACAGUAGCAACACGGAGUGGCCAGAAAGUACUCUUGAAAUACAAUUUCAAACUAAAAGAAACCAGAGCCCUUGGAAGAAAGCAGUGGUUUAGGAUGUGUACAAAAUGGGCCUUAAACCUUGUCACCCGAGAAAGCAGGAACAAACUUUGGGAUCCAACACAGAGGCCCCCACUGGUCAAAGAUGGGAAAACCUCAGCAUCAGAAAGGAUUUUGUCAAAAAAUGACAACUAAAAGAAAAAACCUAGCUGGUUACCACUGAAGGAUGCUAUUUUGAAAACUGGUAAAUACAUGAAGAGAAGGAAUUAAACACUUCUCCUACUUUUCCCAUGUGAACCAUACCACAGCAUAACCAAAUAGCAGAUAAUGGGAAGCCUAUGUCUUUACAGGGGCAUUCCAGUUAGCAAAGGAAAGAAAAUUAGAUUACCACCAUUUUGCAAUUCUUAAUGAAUUACUGGAUCUAGCAUCAAUAGCUACAUAUAUCACAAAACGAGAUAACUGACAUGUGUGCCUCCUGAAAACACAACUUUCCGCAGCCUGUGCAACAGCCUCGACCCACCCCACAACCUCUGGACCAACCAUCAAUUUCCGGGAAAUACAGAGGACUGAGCAGCAGGUCAAACUGGACCACAGAGCUGCGAUCCUCAAAAGCCAGACUAUGAGAAACCAAAUGACCCAGUUUCCCCAAUCAAUAAAUCCCAAAUGAAAGCCACAACAAAAAAGAUGGAUGAGAAAUCCACAGAUCAAAACAGAAACAAGCAGAAUGAAGCCAUUAUACCAAAGUAAAUGAUAAUGUUUAGGAUGCAGGAUAGCCUAAGAGGGAGUCACACCAACUCCCAUAACUUUGAAUGCAUGACUAAAACUAUGUAGCUUUCAAUUUUUUUUAAAAUGGAGUCACCAGUCAAAAUAAAGAGUGAAACUUAAUGACUACAUAUGCAAUCCUAACAAUAAUUCUUCUGCAGCCUUCUGUAACUUCAGCCAUUUCUAAAGUUUAAAAGACACCUCUAUGUUGAGACUUACCUGUAAAUAAGCAGAACAACUUGACUUAAAAUGAAUCCAAGGCUUGAGAGUGCAGAAUAGGCAUAUCAGGUUUUACAGCAAAAGAUCAGAGUGCCUGUCCUCGUCCCACGCCACUUCCUAACUGACCUCAGGCAAGCGCAACAGGCAAGAAAGUUGACAUUAACCAAGAAGCAAAGGCACUGGGUCAGGCAGUUCUCUGCACAGUCCCCCCUGGAGCCAACUGUCCAGCAGGGAAAUAGUUACGACUGUGACUGAUGUUGGGAAAAAAGCACAGAACGCUGAGACGUGAGCCACUGCGAUGGGAGGAAAUAUGACACAGCUCUCAGAGGGGACGAGGCAGAGGACACACGGGGAACCCCUCCUGAGCACUUAACCUCCGAUUUUCUUCCUUUCUUUUCAUCUAUCUUUAGAUGACACUAAUAAAACUAAGACUAUUUACUAGGUAAAAUAAAUUUAUUGAUAUUUAAUUAGGAACUAUGGACCUCACAACAUGAAGGAAAAUAAGCCUCGGCAUCAUUUAAGGCUAUACCGAUGAAGCAAGGAGAGAAAGGAACACUUAAAGACAAGCCGCGAUACAAAAGGAGAAGGUGUGUGCAAUCCUGUUUAACAACCUUCGCAUCUUUUGUCACAGUUUAACUUGCGCACACACGUACACACAUAAGUGUUGCGAUAAUCCAACAGACGUCUUCACCCGGCACUGUGGGGUUAAUUCUCUGACUCCCACACAGCAGGUGGUCACAAUCUAACAGCAAUAUUCACUAGGAGAGUCUGACAGCUUCCUAGGGAACAUCCCUAGAGCUUCUAGAAGGAUGCUACACGUGAGAUCUAGAAAGAUGCUACACGUGAGAAAAAGGAAUAGUCUGAAAAACUGAAAUGUUUCAGUCAAGCUUACAUGAUUUUAAUUUUUAAAAACAAAUCCAAAGAACAGUAUUUUAUUUCAGUGGUCUUCUACGAGCAAUUUGAUAUACAAAAACUGUUUUCUUAAAAGUCUCAACCAUAAGAAAAUACUUUUUAUUCUUUGAGAUUUCUUUAAAUGUUUUUAUUAUCAACAUCACCUCUCUGUAAUUUGUAUUUAGCUACCACACCUCAAAUUAUUUGCUUUAAUUAAAACUAUAAUAAUUAAAACAAUGUACUAUUUAUUUUAUUCUUACUUUUCAUACAGUAUUAUUUUGUUCCUUCCACUAACCUACAGGAGCUAAGAGUUGAACAUGGUCAGCGUCAAAGUAUUCUGAGGGUGAGUGUAGAGUCAGAGCCACACAGAGCCCGAAGCCUUUCUCCAUCUUCUGUUCCUUCCCUUGCAGUAUUCUGGAUUAACAGAAGAAAAUAGUCACCCGACCUCCAGAUGAUUUUCCACCUGUGCCUGGCAAGACUGGGAAAAACCCUGGGGCUACACUCGGGUGUCUGAUGACUGAGGGUUUCACAGAAGAGGCCUCUCCUGACUCAGCUUGGAGGGACUCGUCUGUUAGGAACAGCAUGAGCCUAGGAAACCUUCACCACGAACCUUGUGUUAGAUCAUGAGCGCCAGCAUUUGGGAACAACUGAAACAUAUCUCUAAAUCUUACAGAUCAUAAUACUGUUUAAAUUCUAGGCCUUAAAAAUACAGUAAACAUUAAAGCUUCUGGGAUUCCUAAAAUCUCCUUGCCCGGACCUUUCCCAUCCCAUAAGGGAAGAGAAUGAGCGAGAGAAGCUCAUUCUCAGCACUUCACAGUAUUCCAUGAUUGCAACUGACCCCUGUGAAUCUCCUCUUUCCCCACACCUCCACACUUCCUUUCACAGCCCCCUCAGUCCUCCCUUUCCUUGACAAACCCAAGUAAACCCCACAGUUCAACCAACUGUAGAUCAAAAAUAUUUGAGAAAAAAAUUGUAUCUGUACUGGA